GGGCGAUUGGCUCAGCUGGUUAGAGCGCUGCCCUCACAUGGCAGAGAUCACAGGUUCGAGUCCUGUAUCGCCCA
rnacentral:tRNA from 1 species